GCAUAUCAAUAAGCGGAGGAAAAGAAACCAACAGGGAUUGCCCUAGUAACGGCGAGUGAAGCGGCAACAGCUCAAAUUUGAAAUCUGGCUCUUUUAGAGUCCGAGUUGUAAUUUGCAGAGGGCGCUUUGGCUUUGGCAGCGGUCCAAGUUCCUUGGAACAGGACGUCACAGAGGGUGAGAAUCCCGUACGUGGUCGCUGGCUAUUGCCGUGUAAAGCCCCUUCGACGAGUCGAGUUGUUUGGGAAUGCAGCUCUAAAUGGGAGGUACAUUUCUUCUAAAGCUAAAUAUUGGCCAGAGACCGAUAGCGCACAAGUAGAGUGAUCGAAAGAUGAAAAGCACUUUGGAAAGAGAGUCAAACAGCACGUGAAAUUGUUGAAAGGGAAGCGCUUGCAGCCAGACUUGCUUGCAGUUGCUCAUCCGGGCUUUUUUGCCCGGUGCACUCUUCUGUAGGCAGGCCAGCAUCAGUUUGGGCGGUAGGAUAAAGGUCUCUGUCACGUACCUCCUUUCGGGGAGGCCUUAUAGGGGAGGCGACAUACUACCAGCCUGGACUGAGGUCCGCGCAUCUGCUAGGAUGCUGGCGUAAUGGCUGUAAGCGGCCCGUCUUGAAACACGGACCAAGGAGUCUAACAUCUAUGCGAGUGUUUGGGUGUCAAGCCCGAGCGCGUAAUGAAAGUGAACGGAGGUGGGAACCCGCAAGGGUGCACCAUCGACCGAUCCUGAUGUCUUCGGAAGGAUUUGAGUAAGAGCAUGGCUGUUGGGACCCGAAAGAUGGUGAACUAUGCUUGAAUAGGGUGAAGCCAGAGGAAACUCUGGUGGAGGCUCGCAGCGGUUCUGACGUGCAAAUCGAUCGUCAAAUUUGGGCAUAGGGGCGAAAGACUAAUCGAACUAUCUAGUAGCUGGUUCCUGCG
rnacentral:rRNA from 1 species